GCAACGGUGGUAUAAGGGUUAUCAUAGCUGCUUUCCAAGCAGUUUACCUUGGUUCGAUUCCCGGUCGUCGCA